UACAGAGGCCUCGAGCGUUAAUCGGAGUCACUGGGCUUAAAGGGUGCGUAGGUGGCGGGGUAAGUCAGGUGUGAAAUCUCGGAGCUCAACUCCGAAACUGCACUUGAUACUGCCUUGCUGGAGUACUGGAGAGGAGAUUGGAAUUUACGGUGUAGCAGUGAAAUGCGUAGAUAUCGUAAGGAAGACCAGUGGCGAAGGCGAAUCUCUGGACAGUUACUGACACUGAGGCACGAAGGCCAGGGGAGCAAACGGG
rnacentral:rRNA from 1 species